rnacentral:misc_RNA from 1 species
CCGAGUGAGGGCUCACGCCCGACCUCCAACCCUUUGUGAACCCAUCUUGUUGCUUCGGGGGCGACCCUGCCGGCACUCGGUCGCCGGGCGCCCCCGAAGGUCUCCCAACACUGCAUCUUUGCGUCGGAGUUUAAAACAAAUGAAACA